CCUGGACUCACUUUGUAGACCAGGCUGGCCUCAAACUUAAAUAGAUCUUCCUGCCUCUGCCUCCUGAGUCCUGGGAU
rnacentral:miRNA from 14 species